GAAAAACGAAAAGAAAAAAAAAACUCGAGGAAAAAACUUAAAUCUGUUGACUGGACAGCGGAGGCAAUGAUUUAGUGGCCUAUAAAAGGCCACUUCCCGGACCUAAAACCCCAACCAACGAUCUUAAAAAGGAGAAACCCCCGAUGGAAGUCGUAAAAGUUUUCGGCAUGAGUAUAUCGUGUCAGUUGUCGUGUCAUGUCAUGACCUCCUGGAACAUUUUAUGGCCGCUCCGGAAACGAGAAAAACGGGGUUGUCUUAAAAUCCGUUCAGGCAAAUCACAUCGUAUUAACCUUCAACGUUUUCAUUUUGAACAUUUUCAGUGACAGCAAUUCAAUUCCCAUCCCCACGAACACGAACUCCCCGCGCCACUUGAUCCCCAUUUGAUUUGUCAAAUGCUCCAGACAUCAGAGACGUUGAUAUUCGGGGGCAAAAGUACACAUAUUUUUAGCGAAGCAAAAAAGGGUUCCCACAUCGGCCUCACCAGCAAUGACACUUGUAGCAGACAUGGGACAUCUUGGAAUACCGGGCGGAACCUUGUACACCCUUUUCCUCUUAAAAAUACAGCAGUGAAUACGAGAGCACAUGGAGCACUUAAGUCAAAUUGACUAACAUCCUUACCUGGACAAAUAAUAAUAUUCGAGUUGCAUCUCUUGUAUUGAUACAGUAUGUAUAUACAUAUGUAUUUUUAGGUUAUAGAAGCUUGUAUAGUUAUUGCUCACCACUUAAAAAGCUCAGAUAUUUUACAUCAAUAUUAAAGCUUGGCACUCCCCGAAU
ensembl:ncRNA lncRNA:CR44711 long non-coding RNA:CR44711